rnacentral:lncRNA from 1 species
AAGCUUGCGUUUAAUACCGUUCUGGGACACGUAAUCGGUACGUCGAGCUUCGAUGAUCCAGCCCCAGACGAUCUAUCCGCGAGUCAUGAUGAUAAACGGAAUCGAUCGGAGAGGGGAAUUCGCAUGUAAAUCUCUAUCUACGCACGUGCGACGCGAUCUAUCGAUCAUCGGCGCGGGAGAUCGUGACCAUUAACUGACGCAGAUUCGAAAUAUUUUCGGAGUUACAGAAGAAAUAGUGAGCAAGCGUCGAGCAGGUAUACGAGCGGUUUUUUGAAGUUUUCAACCAGUUUUUCGAAGAGUCUGAACCACUUUUUGAAGUUUUGAACCAGUGUUUUGAAGAGUCUGGAGGGCGACUCUAUGGACCAGGAAUCGCUGACUAGCAUAUUAAUGCGAUGGAAAUUGCGACCUGCACCUUUCCCGCCGCACGACAAAUGCACACUCGAGACGCCUCGGUGAAAUGCUUGGAUCAGGCAUAAUAUGACAUAUAUCUUAAUGAAAAAAUUUAGGAAGACUGCUGAAAUAUAUAACAAUAAAACC